rnacentral:rRNA from 1 species
GACGAACCGAGCGAACGUUAUUCGGAAUAACUGGGCUUAAAGGGUGCGUAGGCGGGCUGUCAAGUCUGGGGUGAAAUCCGGCAGCUUAACUGUCGAACUGCCUCAGAUACUGAUGGCCUCGAGGGGGGUAGGGGCAUGCGGAACUGUAGGUGGAGCGGUGAAAUGCGUUGAUAUCUACAGGAACUCCGGUGGCGAAAGCGGCGUGCUGGACCCCUUCUGACGCUGAGGAGCGAAAGCGUGGGGAGCGAACAGG